rnacentral:lncRNA from 1 species
AUGCUUUCAUUUGCUGAUUGCAGUGUUUUACAAAGGAGGGGUGGUUCGAUGGAAGGCACCUGGAAAUCUGCUGAGGACAGCCCUACCCAUCCGCGGCCAGAUCCAGGGCAGGCGAGCAGCAGCGCUCUGGCAGGGGCUGCACGUGGGCAAGGCAUCACGAUACUCCCUGUGCUGCUGAUGAACCGAGGGGGUGGUGAGAUGGUGCUGAGCGAUGGGCUUUCCAUUUUUUCUUUUUUGUUAAUGGAUGUCCACAAUUACUGGAAACCACUGAAUUUAAUCUUCUUGCAUCUCUGCCCUUCCUAUGAAGUCAGGAAAUUAUCAUCCCCUCUACCUUGUAAGAAGGUGAGAUAAAUGAAGAUAUCUUUGUGUAUAUAGUAAACACUGAGAUGAUGUGCCUUGUAGAAAAGCUUCCCUAGUGCACCAGAUAAACCCUCUGCCUUCUAAGCACAGUUUUAAACAUGGUAACAAAGGCGGGUGCCAUAUAUUGGAGAAUGAGAAUAAGAUAAAUAUUGGAAAAGAGUUCCACUGUAAAAAGUUGAGCAUGCAUCGCACAGUUAGGAGCUCUGGCUUAGUACAUCUGAACGAAACAAUCAGAAUUAAGAUUGCAAUAGCUGCCUCAAUUGUAACGCUCCCUAACUCGGAGUGCUUGGCUUUGAAACAGUAACAUUGUUUUAUUAUACAACUUUUGUGUGGUUUUAGUAGUGCUGCAUUUUGUACCUUUCCAAGUGACAGCUGGUUCUCAGGCUGUGCGGACUUCACCCAGGUGCACCAAGGGAAGACAAGCAUAGAAAGACUUUCGGCUGAGUGCUGCUGGCCCUGGGACGCUGACCGGAGAGGAUCACUGGACAAGUUGGAAGGGAGCCCGGCACAAGCCUGUGCAAGGGGGUGUCUGUGGCAGGCAAACAAUUGCUCGGCACAGCCCUGUGCUGUAAUCAAAGCUGGCUCCCUGCCCUCUUUCAGAAAAGCUUUGAUUGAUCCCUGCAUUUCAGCACCAGGGAGACAUGAAUCAAGCCCUGGGCGGGGCAGCGGACGCUGCUCC